rnacentral:tRNA from 1 species
GGUAAUAGCUCAGUGGUAGAGUGUAUGCUUAGCAUGCACGUGGUCCUGGGUUUGAUCCCCAGUACCG